rnacentral:rRNA from 1 species
CACUUCCAGCAUUACAAUUAUUGGAGGCACUGCCUGCCCAGUGACAUCCGUUAAACGGCCGCGGUAUCCUGACCGUGCAAAGGUAGCAUAAUCAUUUGUUCUUUAAAUAAGGACUUGUAUGAAUGGCCACACGAGGGUUUUACUGUCUCUUACUUCCAAUCAGUGAAAUUGACCUUCCCGUGAAGAGGCGGGAAUUCAUAAAUAAGACGAGAAGACCCUAUGGAGCUUUAAUUAACUAGCCCACAAAAUAAACACCACACUUCUAAGGAAAAUAAACCAACUUUUACUGGACUAGCAAUUUAGGUUGGGGUGACCUCGGAAUAUAAAACAACUCCCGAGUGACACAGUCUAGACUAACAAGUCGAAACCCUCUAUCAUUCAGUGAUCCAAUUUCUUUUGAUCAACGGAACAAGUUACCCUAGGGAUAACAGCGCAAUCCUAUUUGAGAGUCCAUAUCGACAAUAGGGUUUACGACCUCGAUGUUGGAUCAGGACAUCCCAAUGGUGCAGCCGCUAUUAACGGUUCGUUUGUUCAACGAUUAAAGUCCU